UAGGGAAUAUUGCAAAAUGGGCGAAAGCCCGAUGCAGCAACGCCGCGUGGGCGAUGAAGGCCUUCGGGUCGUAAAGCCCUUUUUGAGGGGAUGAGGAAGGACAGUACCCUCAGAAUAAGCCUCGGCUAACUACGUGCCAGCAGCCGCGGUAAAACGUAGGAGGCGAGCGUUAUCCGGAUUUACUGGGCGUAAAGCGCGUGCAGGCGGAUUGGAGAGUUGGAUGUGAAAGCUCCCGGCUUAACUGGGAGAGGUCGUUCAAUACUUCCAGUCUUGAGUGCAGUAGAGGGAAGUGGAAUUCCGGGUGUAGUGGUGAAAUGCGUAGAUAUCCGGAGGAACACCAGUGGCGAAAGCGGCUUCCUGGAUUGUAACUGACGCUCAGACGCGAAAGCUAGGGUAGCAAACG
rnacentral:rRNA from 1 species